rnacentral:lncRNA from 1 species
GUUUGAGAAGUUUUCCUCAUGUACUUUAUAAAGAUAAUUCUGACCAAUAGCGCUCUUUUUUUGGGGUAAAUCAGAAUAAUUAUACUAUUUUAGUAUAAAUACAUCUGUGAAAAUUAAAAAAAUAUAUUCAAAAAUUGAAAAAGAUAAGCCAACUCUAAAAUCUCGCAUGAUUAGAUAUAUAAGAGGCCAUGCAAUUAUCUGCACUAAUUUUUUUACUCUUAAAAAAAAUUCCAAUGUUGUCCAAUGCUGAUGGCGGUCCUUUUGCUACUCUUAAAAAAAUAUUAGAAUCAGUUCAACUCAAUCCACCAUUUACACAUUUCAAGAUUUUAAGCUAAUAUAGAAUUGUAUGUGAAUAGAGAGUUCUUCAAUGGAAAUAAAGAGAUAUAUGCGCACGCAGACACAAAUAAAUAUGUUCGCUCACCGUCGAUUAUCCUGGCAUUUGCUGCUGCUGAGGUUGCCAUUAGAGAGAAUGUGACAGAGAAAUAGAUCGCCAAGAGAUUGUGUAGAUAUGUGGAGGUAGGGCCUAUUCUAUUCAGCAAAGUUUUGGAAAGAAGGGGAAAGCUAGUAUUUGUCCUGGAUGUGAUUGGAUGGAUCGAGAUGAGGUAUUUAUAGGCCAUCAACCAAGCCCAAAAACCAGGUGUGAAGAAGUCUCGUGUGGCUACCCAAGGUGGAUAGUUGGACGUAUCGUCCAAUAUUGGCCUUUUCUUUCCUUGGAACAAGAUUAUUCUUAAUUUUAGAUUCAUUGAUCCAUCCAAGUUGACCGGAUACUCUAAGCCAAAAGUUUCUACUGAUUCGCAUCUUUUCCGUGGUGCGCAUUGGACUUUGAACGUGCUUCAUAUGGUUCCAAUUUUUUGCAUGCACGAUUCCACCACAUUCGACGUUCGCGGCGGGUUAUGCUUCCUAUAUGUCUUGGGUGAAUGUGGCUCGUGACCAGAAUUAGAAUUGGAAUAGUUAUAUUCCCUAGUGCAUUUAGCUUAUGACUAAAAUUGGAAUCGGAUCGAAAAAUCAAUUAAAUAGGAAGACGUUUAUGACAUUUGAUUACUGGAAUUAGGAGAGUUUUGAGAUUGGGUUUUGGACAUGAUAUUCUCAGUUCAUACCAUGCUCUUUGCCGCACUCCUUCUAAACAAACAAACUUGUGACACAGGGUUCAUAUAUUUUUUGAUUGGUAGUAUGAUAAGAUAUUUAAUUGUCCAUAUUGAGUCAAUUAAACUGCAUACAAAUUUUAAAUACGGCGUCCUUGACCGGACAUCACGUAAGGAAACCGGCAUUGCAUCUGCCAGAAGGACCGGUCCUUCAAAUGAUUUUCCUACCAGACAAAAAAUCAGUCAAAUAAUUCUGUGGAUGCAUGAUUAGCCGGGUCCAACCUAACAACAGCCAUCACAAUUAUGGGCUGAAAUCAUGUGCCAUUCACGACUUUGUCAAACAGAAACUAUAAAUCCAUUAAUUAAAGCAUCAUGCUUUUUUUUUUUAAUAUGAAGGCAUGAAUGUAGGUUUUGCGGAAUUAAAUCUGUAGACGAUCAUGAAAAAACCAAAGCAUGCAAGUAUUAGUUAUAACAUUCUCUUUCAAAAGCUAAUCAGCCUGCUUGGUAUCUCCAUAGAGCAUAGGCAUAGAUUUUGAGUACUUAUAUUGGACUAAGAAACCCAAAAAAUUUUUGUCGGCUAGCUUUUUUUGGGUGAGAUCUUUAGUUGUUACAGUAUGCACCCUAUAUAAAAUGUUCGCAUGAUAAAUCAUUAAAAAAAAGUGAAAAAUAACUAGGGGAAGGUACGUUUAUAGGAGUGAUAAGGUCGAGCGCAUGUAUGAAGAAAAUUUAAGCACAAAAAAAGAGUUGAGGGUAAAUUCAGAAGAGGAAAGAGAGCAAACUAAAAGUGGACGGUCUGAGUUUGUGAGGUACGCAGAGGAUUAACCUUGCAAUGAGGAAAAUGAAAUAAAAGAUAAAAAGAAAGGAAAUCGAUCUCCAAUACAGCCACCCAAGUUAAUUUACCAACUUAAUAAGCUCUCGUCUUCAAUAGUUGUCAUUAGAGUAAAGCUUUAUUUUAAGGUAUGGCCCUCGUCAAUCACCUCCAAUGAAUCCAUCCUAGGUGGAUUAAUGCAGCAUUGGUUAAUAUGUACAUGAAUGAAAGAUGAUGCAAUAAUCACCUCAUUUGUGCAAGGGUACAGCACCCAGAUAGAUUUUUCAAGAAUUAUCACAUAAAUUUCAGCCGCAUGUGAUUCAGGUGUCUAUGCCAACUAGCAUAUGGAAUUUGUAUCCAAAAUAUUUGACAAAAAGUCUUCAACUGCGCUUAGGAGUAGAAAUUUUCUAUUUAGAGGGCAUACGAAAUAAUCUACAUGGGAUUCAAAUUGCAUGCAGAUUUGCACCUCCUUCUGAUACCUGUAUUUCACUCACGCGGUUAGAAAGAUGGGAGCCUGCUGCAAUUUUUUUUCCAAUAAACAGAUAAGGAGUUUCCAGAUGCUAGCCUGCGGUAAAAAAUUAUCAGCACUAUAACAUAAAAAAGAGGCAUAUGAGGACCCGUGUGGGCAUGUAUUUAGUCUCAUAUUGAUUAUUUACCGAGGAGAUUUUGGAUACUUAUAUAGACGAAGGAACUCAAAACUUACUUUCUAGCUAGCCUUUUUGGGUGAAGUCCUGAAUUAUUACAAAUGAUAUCAGAGCAAAUUCGGCUCAUAGCCUAUGUGGACUAGGAGGAUACUGCAGCACGAGUUCACGGAGGCAGAACACGGGCCGAUCGUGGUGCUUGUAAUUAGAUUUAGAUGAAUUUGAACUCCUGACGAGGACAUCAGAGCUUGGACGAGUGGAGUAUGUGAGGAUCCGUGCGGGCAUGUGUUUAGUCCCACAUCGGUUAUUUGCUGAGGAGAUCUUUAGUACUUAUACAAGACUAAGGAACUUAAAAAUUACCUUCUGUCUACCUUUUUUGGGUGAGGUGUAGCACCAAGACUAAAUCUUGACGAAAUCUAUCCAGCCAUAAAAGUUUUGCUAGGGUAAAUUCUGCACAACCAUUCAUAAAGACGCACUUUGAUGCUUUGGCUAAGUAAAUGCUUGGUCUAGAUUAGAUGAAUAAAGCUGAUUUUAUUUACAUUUGGUCUCCUUCUACUUGCAAGCAGCACAAAAGCAUCAUGUACGUGCCCGUUAAAUAUUGUUUAUUGCGACACGAAUAAGCUUAAUUUGCAUAUAGCGUAGCGGUAAAUAUUCUGCUCCGGUCCUAGUGUACACUCCCUUUGGCAGCAUCUACUAAUUCGGAACUUAAUUUGAAAGCCAUAUUUCGACCCGGACGUUUUCGGGAUGCCCCUAAUAACCAACGAAUGGCAAGUGCUUUUCCUUGUGUAGAUCCUAUUUCAAUAGGAACUUGAUGAGUCGAUCCACCUACACGUCUUGCUUUUACUGCUAUAUCGGGAGUUACUCCAUGUAUUGCUUGACGUAAAACAGAUAGUGGAUUUGUUUCUGUCUUUUGUUC